rnacentral:rRNA from 1 species
AUUGAACGCUGGCGGCAGGCUUAACACAUGCAAGUCGCGCGGGGGAGGUUGCUUCGGUAACUGACCUAGCGGCGGACGGGUGAGUAAUGCUUAGGAAUUUGCCUAUUAGUGGGGGACAACAUGCCGAAAGGGAUGCUAAUACCGCAUACGCCCUACGGGGGAAAGCAGGGGAUCUUCGGACCUUGCGCUAAUAGAUGAGCGUAAGUCGGAUUAGCUAGUUGGUGGGGUAAAGGCCUACCAAGGCGACGAUCUGUAGCGGGUCUGAGAGGAUGAUCCGCCACACUAGGACUGAGACACGGCCCAGACUCCUACGGGAGGCAGCAGUGGGGAAUAUUGGACAAUGGGCGGAAGCCUGAUCCAGCCAUGCCGCGUGUGUGAAGAAGGCCUUUUGGUUGUAAAGCACUUUAAGCGAGGAGGAGGCUCUUAAGGUUAAUACCCUUGAUGAGUGGACGUUACUCGCAGAAUAAGCACCGGCUAACUCUGUGCCAGCAGCCGCAGUAACAC